rnacentral:lncRNA from 1 species
GUCAUCCAGGCCAUUGGAAUGCAAACCCAUCAGGUAUGGAACAGGAGCAUCUAAGAAAUGCAGGAGAGAAGCUGGGAGAAUAGGGACAUAGACAUGCUGCCACUGGAAAGGAAACAUGAGAGCUGUAAUCGUCUCCGCCACAGUCAUCAGUCUCUGGUAAUGCUGUGAGUAGAGCAGGAUUUGAAACUCCAGAAGGGCACAAGUAAAAAGCUGAAACACAUUCUCCA